rnacentral:rRNA from 1 species
CAGUAGCCACGGUAAUACGAAGGGGGCUAGCGUUGUUCGGAAUUACUGGGCGUAAAGCGCGUGUAGGCGGGUCCUUAAGUCAGGGGUGAAAUGCCAAGGCUCAACCUUGGAACUGCCUUUGAUACUGGGGAUCUUGAGUCCGGGAGAGGAGAGUGGAAUUCCACGUGUAGCGGUGAAAUGCGUAGAGAUGUGGAGGAACACCAGUGGCGAAGGCGACUCUCUGGUCUGUAACUGACGCUGAGGAGCGAAAGCGUGGGGAGCGAACAGGAUUAGAUACCCGCGUAGUCCCUGUCUCUUAUAC